UACAGAGGUCUCAAGCGUUGUUCGGAUUCAUUGGGCGUAAAGGGUGCGUAGGUGGCGCUGUAAGUCGGGUGUGAAAUUUCGGAGCUUAACUCCGAAACUGCAUUCGAUACUGCGGUGCUUGAGGACUGGAGAGGAGACUGGAAUUCAUGGUGUAGCAGUGAAAUGCGUAGAGAUCAUGAGGAAGACCAGUGGCGAAGGCGGGUCUCUGGGACAGUUCCUGACACUGAGGCACGAAGGCCAGGGGGGCAAACGGG
rnacentral:rRNA from 1 species